rnacentral:rRNA from 1 species
UACGUAGGGUGCAAGCGUUGUCCGGAAUUAUUGGGCGUAAAGAGCUCGUAGGCGGUUUGUCGCGUCUGCUGUGAAAACCUAAGGCUCAACCUUGGGCUUGCAGUGGGUACGGGCAGGCUAGAGUGCGGUAGGGGUGACUGGAAUUCCUGGUGUAGCGGUGGAAUGCGCAGAUAUCAGGAGGAACACCGAUGGCGAAGGCAGGUCACUGGGCCACAACUGACGCUGAGGAGCGAAAGCAUGGGGAGCGAACAGG